rnacentral:rRNA from 1 species
UACAGAGGUCUCAAGCGUUGUUCGGAUUCAUUGGGCGUAAAGGGUGCGUAGGCGGCGCGGUAAGUCGGGUGUGAAAUCUUGGAGCUUAACUCCGAAACUGCAUUCGAUACUGCCGUGCUUGAGGACUGGAGAGGAGACUGGAAUUUACGGUGUAGCGGUGAAAUGCGUAGAUAUCGUAAGGAAGACCAGUGGCGAAGGCGGGUCUCUGGACAGUUCCUGACGCUGGAGGCACGAAGGCCAGGGGAGCAAACGGA